rnacentral:rRNA from 1 species
CGCAUCAGCCAUGGCGCGGUGAAUACGUUCCCGGGCCUUGUACACACCGCCCGUCAAGCCAUGGAAGCCGGGGGUGCCUGAAGUGCGUGACCGCAAGGAGCGCCCUAAGGUAAAACCGGUGACUGGGGCUAAGUCGUAACAAGGUAAC